GUAGGGUGCGAGCGUUAUCCGGAAUCAUUGGGCGUAAAGAGCUCGUAGGCGGUUCAGCAAGUCGGCUGUGAAAUUCCGAGGCUCAACCUCGGAACUGCAGUCGAUACUGCUGUGACUCGAGUCCGGUAGAGGAGAAUGGAAUUCAGGGUGUAGCGGUGAAAUGCGCAGAUAUCCUGAGGAACACCAGUAGCGAAGGCGGUUCUCUGGGCCGGUACUGACGCUGAGGAGCGAAAGCGUGGGUAGCAAACAGGAUUAGAUACCCUGGUAGUCCCACGCCGUAAACGUUGGACACUAGGUGUGGCCGUUCCGACCAACGGGUGCCGUGCCGAAGCUAACGCAUUAAGUGUCCCCGCCUGGGAGUACGGCCGCAAGGCUA
rnacentral:rRNA from 1 species